rnacentral:rRNA from 1 species
GUGGGGAAUAUUGGACAAUGGGCGCAAGCCUGAUCCAGCCAUGCCGCGUGAGUGAUGAAGGCCUUAGGGUUGUAAAGCUCUUUCACCGGUGAAGAUAAUGACGGUAACCGGAGAAGAAGCCCCGGCUAACUUCGUGCCAGCAGCCGCGGUAAUACGAAGGGGGCUAGCGUUGUUCGGAAUUACUGGGCGUAAAGCGCACGUAGGCUGAUAUUUAAGUCAGGGGUGAAAUACCGGGGCUCAACCCCGGAACUGCCUUUGAUACUGGGUAUCUUGAGUAGUGAAGAGGUCAGUGGAAUUGCGAGUGUAGAGGUGAAAUUCGUAGAUAUUCGCAGGAACACCAGUGGCGAAGGCGGCUGACUGGUCCAUUACUGACGCUGAGGUGCGAAAGCGUGGGGAGCAAACAGGAUUAGAAACCCGAGUAGUCC